CUGGCGCACAAUGCUGUGAAAGCAAAGUAGGUCCGGUUAGUUCUAGACGUUUCUUGCUCGUUCUGGUUUUGGAGAGGCGUGUUACACAAAGAGAGAUCAAUGCGCCCUCCGUUAAAGUGACGUAGACAACCCAUUCUUUUACCUUUAUAGAAGAAAUAUCGUGUAAUUCAAUAAAUGUGUGCUCGACACAUGUUGCAAGUCAUUGAUUAGUACUGUCGGUGGUCUUACGAACCCGGUGGAAUGACAAUACGAACCCGUAGACGACUGACCCAAAAACGCAAACAUGGUGGAUUUUGUAAGGAGAAGACCGAUAUCUUUCGACGAAAAGACGAUCUACUUUUUACGUCGGAGGAAUACUUGACGUGACUACAUCUGACUAUAAAUAGGGUGUGUUCUUGCGGCCAUUUUCAGACGCAUAGACGCGACUCUCGAGUAACAUGUGGCUGAUCAGGUGAACCCGAUCCUUGUUUUCUUCCUCAUUCUUUGAUUUUAUUCGAGCAGUAUUUUAUUUACUAGGCAACAAACUACGCUGAUAUUAACGAGCCGUAACUAUAUGUAGAUUUUGUAUUGUUGAUGUCUCUAAAUGGUCGUGUAGCGUCGGAUAAGAAGCCAUCAGCCACUGUCUUUUUUUUCAAACCUGAUUGUUUUUCUACGUACGGCCUUGUUAUUACAUUUUGGGUCUUGUUGGCAACUGGUAUUUUAAUUAGACGAGUUAUUUUGUUCAAGCUUGACGACUGAGUUUAUAGACUCUUGACGUGAAUUAACAUCGCUAUGGCGUUUGCUAUGAUUGUUUUUAGAUCUCGAAGAAACCAUAAACGCAGUCAGUUUUCAUAUUUUUCAAAUGCGUGUGACGUAAUCAAAGAUAGCUUUUUAUUGUUGGAGAAAUCGAAAAUAGUAACUCGCUCCUCCCAUUUUGUGACGUAGGCUAACAAUGGCGUCUUAGAGUGAGUGGCUAACUGUUCAAGCUAACCAGUUUUUGGUCAAUCUGCCCUUUUUGCCAGAUCAUUACACGAAACUUACCAAACGAAAACUGCUUUUGAUUUUAACGAAUAUCAGACUGUCAUGUUUGACGACUUUCAGAAUAUGUUUCGUUGUCGUUGCUAAACUAGCUUAGGCAUCUAAAGAAUCAGUCAUUGGCAAAGACUCGGCCAAGUGAGAAAACGCUUGAAGCUACUUCUGGUGGAUAAUUUAAUGUUACUUUGUUCUUUUUGCAAAUGUUCUUUAAUCUGAUCGAAUAGCCGGUGGUGUGGUUUACUUGUAACAGAUGCCUAUUAACUGAUCACAAGUGUGAUGUAGCACCAUUAUCAACCAUAAUAGGUCAUUUAAGUCUUGAUUUUAUUUUUUAUUUUUUUUGUAACCCUUUUUUGUGGGGCUUGGGUGGGUCAUGGACUGAGUUUAUAUCUGGGAUCCAAGGUUUCUGUGGACUGAGUAAUUUUUUUGUGGAAAUGGACUUAGUUUUAAAGAAGAAUGGACUUAGUCAAUAGAAGAGGAUCGUAGGACCAUGGAGGAAGAGGCCAUAGGACACGGAGGCAUAGGAUGACGCGGGCGGAACCAGGCAGGACAGGACCAGAGCGGAACCAGGCAGGACAAGACCAGAGCGGAACCAGGCAGGACAAGACCAGAGCGGAACCAGGCAGGACAAGACCAGAGCGAAACCAGGCAAGACAGGACCAGAGGGCGGGGAGGAGAUGACCGGAAAAGAACAGGCGGCAGCUGCGGUCUUCAGUGUCAACCAAAUCGAGCCAGAGGGGCGGGGUAGCGACGCGGAGCAGCCAUCUCAGCAGUUGCAGUUCCACGCAGGCCAGCCAGUGUCGAGAGGGCAGGAGAGAGGUCACUAAAGUAUCCACUAGCUUCAUUAAAGACCAGGCGUAUGGUUUGUAUGUUGGGUAGAAGUAUCACCUCAGAACUUCAGUAUCUCUCCAACCAAAUACUGUAGAGCACAAUUUCUUGCACAGAUUUCUCUUCCUUUUUCCAGGCAAGCAGUGUAAAGUGUUUCGUACUGUGGUCAUCCAUCCCGUUGUGCGCUGACAAGGUUGUGGUGGUGUCUUCUGUGCUGAGUGCCGUGGUAGUGCGGUGGUCCGAGAACCGGCGUAUAUGGACUUCUCUACUCCUGCGAUCACAAGUAGUUCCUGGGCCAGAGAGAUGCAGUCCUUGUUGUUGAGUUGAUCUACUCCAGAGAUGUUCUUCUGAGGAGGGAGUAAUGGAUGGUCUCCAAGGCGGCCGUGUGGUGCAUAUACAGCAACCCUUUGGUGAUUCAGCAGUCCGUCAUUGGUACAGUUCAGCACCGUCAACUUGAGCGGAGCAGUGAGUCAAUGCAUGAAGUGUAUAUGUGGGUGUUAUCCUUCAUGAGCUAUUUGUAUAAAAAAAAAAAACUAAA